UUGACUCGUUUGUAUAAUACUCGGAGAUGCCAACACGCUGAGACAGAGUAUGCGGGCCGCCGGCGGGCGCGCGGAGCGCCCGCCGAGGCAACGACGGUAGGUAAGAUUCACAGUGGUAUUACGGGAGUAUGACGUCCUGUAAUGAUCCCUCCGCUGGUUCACCAACGGAGA
rnacentral:misc_RNA from 1 species